UUCACGGAGAGUUUGAUCCUGGCUCAGGACGAACGCUGGCGGCGUGCUUAACACAUGCAAGUCGAACGAUGAAGCCCUUCGGGGUGGAUUAGUGGCGAAC
rnacentral:rRNA from 1 species